UCGCUGCUAAGUUUCCACAGGAGCCUGGAGAAGCAGUGACGCUGCGACACUAACACAGAGCAACAAGUGCAAUAAGAGAGCGUGUGUCAGAGAGCAGUGCACUACCUUCCUGUCACAUAGACUCAUGGAUAACUUCCAGGCACAGCCGCACUGACACACAUUUCUAAUUACUCUGCUUUAUCACUGCCUCGUGGCUAUUGUUUAUCGGGACUCCUGCUCCAAGCGUCUGAUUGGACAGAGAUCACGGGACUAGCAGCCAAAUGAUCAUUGGCUACCCACAACCAAUAAGGAAGUGGCUGCUUCAGGAGAGAGCUGCAUAUGUUCCAGCACCUCAGUGAAUUUCUGAGGGCCGUCACUGCACAGAGAACCCAGCAGUCCGGAUAAUUAACUCCUCCCCCAGCCCUUCUCUCCCCCCGCAGCCAUUAUCUCCCUGCAGCCUCCCUUGUCUAGCCGCUCCCUCACUGUCACCACAGCCUGUUCAGACGCUCUGCCGACUGCGUCUCCCCAGCCAGCGCGACCUUAAUCCUCCUGGCUGCUCUGUGUGCUACUUCUGGUGCUGUGUGGAGGAACAGCGCUGAGUCAAGGGCGCACACAGUGGCGACUCACAAUACAUUAUAUAAGAUUCCCUCGUCAAACUUUCCCCGUUGCCAGGUAACCCAGAUCACGUGCCCCUGCGGGACUUCCGCCGGGGAAUGCUUUCUGCUUGAAGCCGGGACCCGCUCACGUGACGUCUCACCAUGGCGGAUACAAGCAAUCGGCUCAUGUUGGGCGCCGGCCUGACAGUUUUGUCGCACCCGAUGAUGUAUGUGAAGGUGCUGGUGCAGAUGUGAAUCUUUUAAUUGGAGGCCCAACAUACAGCGAUUGUGCCGGCGGUUAUUGCUACAGUGAAAGCAGCUUGUCAGCUACAAGGAACAGGUUCAUACACUGAUCUGAAAUACCUGAAAUAUGCUCCCCGGCUCAUUCUUUGAGAGGUGGACUAGUCUGGCCAAUGGACUGUACAAGAGCAGGGAGCUGAUCAGUGGCUACUUCAGUCAAGGGUCCAUUUCAAACCUGCCCAGAUACAUAUGGCUGAGUUUCAAUCAGAUAUGAAUGGGGUUGGCAUAUCACCAGCCUAACCAGUAAUAUAGCAGCCGAGACUGGGACCAGUGUUACACAUUUAACCAGCAAUGUAUUUGCUCAUAAAUGUAUAAUUCCCUGAUGUGCCACCCCUGUCCUGUCCCUCCCCAAUCCCUGCCGCCAGCUCCGCUUCUUUCCCUUCUUCCUAUAAUCCCGCUCCCAUAUCGACCAUAUUUUCUCCCGAACCACCCCCCCAUUGUCCCUCCCCUUUCUGUACAGCCAGAUUUUUUUUUUCCAAAAUGGUGACAACCCUAGAUAUUGGUCAGGCAGGACCUUCUGAGGGCCCAUGUAUGAUAAUGUCCCUGGUACAGCACAAGCCCAGUAUAAUGCCUCUUCUGAGCUGACUGGACUGUGCUGGCACCCAGCCUAUAUCAGUGCAAUGGACUGUGAAAACCUGUUGGUGGCGCCUACUCCCACGAGCAGCGUCUCCUAUUUCCCCUACUCAUGUAUGUCAGUGGGCAUGGGUAUUCUACUACUUCAUUCUAAAGCAUGGGGGCAACACCAUCCAGCAGGGAGGCAGCAAGAUCAACAUGGGAUUCCUUAAAAGCCUGGGCCCAACAGAACUGAGAAGCUUGAUACAGUUGUACCCUGCAAUUACAUAACUUAAGCCUUGCUCUGUCUACCUCCCUCACCCUGUCUGUUAAAGGGCAAGUAAACCCAGGAAUAUCAGGGCAGGGGGGCUGCUGUACUGCCUCUUAUGCCCAACAGCCGUUUCAUUGGUAAAGUUACAUCCCCCCAAUUCAGCAGAACAAAACUUCCUGGUGACUCUGGAUGGACCCUCCUCUUCCCAUUUUCCCAAAGGGAGUGGUAUGUGCAGUGAACCUCGGGGGAGCAGGGUACUAUGGGAAAAUAUUCACUACGAAUCAAAAUGUAGAGAGAUAUUAUGUACGUCUUUGGCCCAGGACUCCUUGAAUUUCCAGUGGCCUCUAAUAUCCCGCCUGUUAUCAGUAGACCAAUCACGGGAUGGACUGAUGCCCAAUGAAACAUCACACAGACCUGCCCUUCCUCUGCCCAAAUAAUACCAAAGGCAACUUUAUCAUGGGACAAAUGUCUUCUAAUGACAGUGGCAUGUUUAUGGGUCAGCUCUUUCUAGACCCAAUGAGUCCAUUUCUCCUUGGCCCAAAGAAUACUAAUGGCAGUGACAUGUAUAUCCAAGUCCCUGCUAGGCCCAAAAUAACAUAUUAAUAAACACCUUCUGAACCCAGUCUCAUUAUAACACUAUAUAUCAUUUGUAUGUGAUUGAUUGACCAAACCUCUGGUAUCAGUGCAGAUCAGUAGGACUAGGUCCCCUCCUCAUAUUUCUUCAUCCUUAGCAUCUCCUUUCACCCAUUUCUCCCACCCCUGCCUCUUGAUUCCACCUUCACUUUUCAGUGACCCUUUUCCCUUGCACUAGAGGUCUCCCUCCUCUGUAAUGUUCCCUGGCAAUACUAUAGAACUAUAACAAAUGCAAGAACACCAAUGAAAUGUGUAUUAACAUAUUUAUUUAUAAAGUGAUUGUUUUAUUUAUGCAUUUUAGAUUAAUUCAUACUAAUUUAGGUUGGGAAGGACUCGCAUCCAUUAGGUUCAAGUUUUAGUGUAAAAGGGAUCUUCCUAUUUAGAAGUUGAUCCAGAGGAAGGCGAAAAACCCCAUCUGAUGCCGGAGCCAAUUUGCCUCAGAGGGGGAAAAAAUUCCUUCCUGACUCCCAAAGGGCAAUCGGACAAGUCCCUGGAUCAACUUAUACUAAGAGUUUAUGUCAGUAUCAGUACUAAGAGUUUAUGUGAGGGUUUAGAGGAGGAGAUGUGACUGGUUGUUGAGUGGAUUGAAAGGAUAGGAAGACAAUUUGAAUAGGAAGAACCACUGAGGAAUUGGUGUUGGGAGAUUGCAGAGAAGCCUUUGUGUAGUGGCGGUUUU